ensembl:lncRNA LINC01866 long intergenic non-protein coding RNA 1866
GUGAAUACCAAAUCUGUAACCCUGAUACUCCCAUGUCUCAAAAGUUCUCAUUCUUCUCCUUCCUGCUGCCACAUGACAAAGGAUGUGUUUGACUCCCCUUUCAUCAUGAUUGCAAGUUUCCUGAGGCUUCCCAAGCCAUGCUGAACUUAUGCCUCAGCCAUGGAAAUGGGCCACUCCUAGUUCAAGCUUCUUGCAGAAUAU